rnacentral:piRNA from 1 species
UGGGAUUAAAGGCCUGCGGCAC